rnacentral:rRNA from 1 species
UCGGGAAUCUUGCACAAUGGGCGAAAGCCUGAUGCAGCAACACCGUGUGAGCGAUGAAGGCCUUAGGGUCGUAAAGCUCUGUUUGCGAGGACGAAGGGCGAAGGGUUAAUAGCCCUUAGCCUGACGGUACUUGUACAGAAAGCCCCGGCCAACUACGUGCCAGCAGCCGCGGUAAUACGUAGGGGGCGAGCGUUGUCCGGAAUUAUUGGGCGUAAAGAGCGUGUAGGCGGCUUGGUAAGUCUGCUGUGAAACCUUGGGGCUCAACCCCAAGCGUGCAGUGGAUACUGUCAAGCUAGAGGAUGGUAGAGGCCAGUGGAAUUCCCAGUGUAGCGGUGAAAUGCGCAGAUAUUGGGAGGAACACCAGUAGCGAAGGCGGCUGGCUGGGCCAUUCCUGACGCUGAGACGCGAAAGCUAGGGGAGCGAACAGGAUUAGAUACCCUGGUAGUCCUAGCCGUAAACGAUGAACACUAGGUGUGGGGGGAGUCGAAUCCCUCUGUGCCGAAGUAACGCGUUAAGUGUUCCGCCUGGGGAGUACGGCCGCAAGGCUA